rnacentral:rRNA from 1 species
UGGGGAAUUUUGGACAAUGGGCGAAAGCCUGAUCCAGCAAUGCCGCGUGUGUGAAGAAGGCCUUCGGGUUGUAAAGCACUUUUGUCCGGAAAGAAAUCCUUGGCUCUAAUACAGUCGGGGGAUGACGGUACCGGAAGAAUAAGCACCGGCUAACUACGUGCCAGCAGCCGCGGUAAUACGUAGGGUGCAAGCGUUAAUCGGAAUUACUGGGCGUAAAGCGUGCGCAGGCGGUUUGCUAAGACCGAUGUGAAAUCCCCGGGCUCAACCUGGGAACUGCAUUGGUGACUGGCAGGCUAGAGUAUGGCAGAGGGGGGUAGAAUUCCACGUGUAGCAGUGAGAUGCGUAGAGAUGUGGAGGAAUACCGAUGGCGAAGGCAGCCCCCUGGGCCAAUACUGACGCUCAUGCACGAAAGCGUGGGGAGCAAACAGGAUUAGAUACCCUGGUAGUCCACGCCCUAAAACGAUGUCAACUAGUUGUUGGGGAUUCAUUUCCUUAGUAACGUAGCUAACGCGUGAAGUUGACCGCCUGGGGAGUACGGUCGCAAGAUUAAAACUCAAAGGAAUUGACGGGGUCAUA